GGCUCUUUGCUCAAAUAAAGAGUCUAAUCUGCCCGGUGACUGGAAGUUUAACGGCCGCAGUAUCCUGACUGUGCAAAGGUAGCAUAAUCACUUGCCCUAUAAUUGAGGGCUGGAAUGAAUGAUUGAAUGGAAUAUAUCUGUCUCUAAAAGAUUUUAUAGAAUUUAGGUUCCACGUGAAGACCCAUGGAUUGAAUUAAGGGACGAGAAGACCCUAUCGAGCUUUAAGUUUUAUAUUCAAUAAGAAUAUUAGGGCUUUUGAUUGGGGCAAUCCAAGAACAUUUAAAGCUUCUUGUAAGUUCAUAGAUCCAAUAUGAUUGAUUAAGGAUUAAGUUACCGUAGGGAUAACAGCAUAAUUCUUUUAUAGAGUUCAAAUCGAAAAAAGAGUUUGUGACCUCGAUGUUGGACUAAAAUACCUAUAGGUGUAGUCG
rnacentral:rRNA from 1 species